rnacentral:rRNA from 1 species
AGUUUGAUCUUCACUAUAUCGUUGACUCCGGAGCUCUUCCGUCUCCCCCCCGGGCCUCCCGGGGAGGUUGCGGCUUGGCGAGGGGUGCCUCCGGCCGCACGCCCAUUCUUGUCUACUGACCCGGUUGCCUCGGCGGGCCGCGCCUGCUGUGCUACAGCGGCCGUUCGGGGGGGACGCCUGAGGGGGACUCUUGUUUCCUAGGCCACGCCCCGGGCAGCGCUCGCCGGAGGAUUACUCUGGAAAACACACUCUUGAAAGAACAUACCGUCUGAGCGAGCAACGCAAAUCAGUUAAAACUUUCAACAACGGAUCUCUUGGUUCCGGCAUCGAUGAAGAACGCAGCGAAAUGCGAUAAGUAAUGUGAAUUGCAGAAUUCCGUGAAUCAUCGAAUCUUUGAACGCACAUUGCGCCCCCUGGCAUUCCUGGGGGCAUGCCUGUUCGAGCGUCAUUUCAACCCCUCAAGCCCGGCUUGUGUGAUGGACGACCGUCCCCCCUCCCCAGUAACCACCCACCGCUUAGGGGGGUGGGAGGGAGGGGGACGCGCCCGAAAAGCAGUGGUCAGGCCGCGAUUCCGGCUCCUGGGCGAAUGGGACAUACCACCGCCUCCAGGACCGGCCGGCAGGCUGGCCUAACGCACCAUGUAUUAUUCAGGUUGACCUCGGAUCACGUAGGGAUACCCGCUGAACUUAAGCAUAUCAAUAAACCGGAGGAAA